AAAGGGUGCGUAGGCGGGUAGGUAAGUCAGUGGUGAAAUCCUAGAGCUUAACUCUAGAACUGCCAUUGAUACUAUCUAUCUUGAAUAUUGUGGAGGUAAGCGGAAUAUGUCAUGUAGCGGUGAAAUGCUUAGAUAUGACAUAGAACACCUAUUGCGAAGGCAGCUUACUACGCAUAUAUUGACGCUGAGGCACGAAAGCGUGGGGAUCAAACAGGAUUAGAUACCCGAGU
rnacentral:rRNA from 1 species